ACUCCUACGGGAGGCAGCAGUGAGGAAUUUUGCGCAAUGGCCGCAAGGCUGACGCAGCAACGCCGCGUGGGUGAUGAAGGCCUUCGGGUCGUAAAGCCCUGUCAGGUGGGAAGAAAGGCCUUAAGGAGAAAGACUUGAGGUUUGACGGUACCACCAGAGGAAGCACCGGCUAACUCCGUGCCAGCAGCCGCGGUAAUACGGAGGGUGCGAGCGUUAUUCGGAAUUACUGGGCGUAAAGCGCGUGUAGGCGGGGGGACAAGUCUGAUGUGAAAGCCCUGGGCUUAACCUGGGAAGCGCAUUGGAAACUGUUUUUCUUGAGUACUGGAGAGGAAGGGGGAAUUCCCGGUGUAGAGGUGAAAUUCGUAGAGAUCGGGAGGAAUACCGGUGGCGUAGGCGCCCUUCUGGACGGUAACUGACGCUGAGACGCGAAAGCGUGGGGAGCAAACAGGAUUAGAUACCCUGGUAGUC
rnacentral:rRNA from 1 species